rnacentral:rRNA from 1 species
AGAGACAGCAGUAGCCACGGUAAUACGUAGGUGGCGAGCGUUGUCCGGAAUUAUUGGGCGUAAAGGGAGCGCAGGCGGGCGAGUAAGUCUUUCUUAAAAGUGCGGGGCUCAACCCCGUGAGGGGAGAGAAACUACUCAUCUUGAGUGCAGGAGAGGAAAGCGGAAUUCCUAGUGUAGCGGUGAAAUGCGUAGAUAUUAGGAAGAACACCAGUGGCGAAGGCGGCUUUCUGGACUGUAACUGACGCUGAGGCUCGAAAGCCAGGGGAGCGAACGGGAUUAGAUACCCCCGUAGUCCCUGUCUCUUAUACA